rnacentral:rRNA from 1 species
AUUGAACGCUGGCGGCAGGCCUAACACAUGCAAGUCGAGCGGAGCGGCGGACGGGUGAGUAAUGCCUAGGAAUCUGCCUGGUAGUGGGGGAUAACGUCCGGAAACGGGCGCUAAUACCGCAUACUAUCAGAUGAGCCUAGGUCGGCUUAGCUAGUUGGUGGGGUAAAGGCCUACCAAGGCGACGAUCCGUAACUGGUCUGAGAGGAUGAUCAGUCACACUGGAACGGGGACACGGUCCAGACUCCACGGGAGGGCAGAGGUGGGGAAUAUUGGACAAGGGGCGAAGGCCUGAGCCAGCCAUGCGGGGGGUGGGAAAAAGGUCUUGGGAUUGUAAAGCCCUUUAAGUUGGAAGGGGUUACCAACAGAAUAGGCACCGGCUAACUUCGGGCCAGCAGCCGCGGUAAAC